CCUACGGGGGGCAGCAGUGGGGAAUAUUGCGCAAUGGGCGCAAGCCUGACCCAGCAACGCCGCGUGAAGGAAGAAGGCUUUCGGGUUGUAAACUUCUUUUCUCAGGGACGAAGAAAGUGACGGUACCUGAGGAAUAAGCCACGGCUAACUACGUGCCAGCAGCCGCGGUAAUACGUAGGUGGCAAGCGUUAUCCGGAUUUACUGGGUGUAAAGGGCGUGUAGGCGGGGAAGCAAGUCAGAUGUGAAAACCACGGGCUCAACCUGUGGCCUUCAUUUGAAACUGUUGUUCUUGAGUACUGGAGAGGCAGACGGAAUUCCUAGUGUAGCGGUGAAAUGCGUAGAGAUGAGGAGGAACACCAGUGGCGAAGGCGGUCUGCUGGACAGCAACUGACGCUGAGGCGCGAAAGCGUGGGGAGCAAACAGGAUUAGAUACCCGAGUAGUC
rnacentral:rRNA from 1 species